rnacentral:lncRNA from 1 species
CUUGGAUGUCUUAAUGUAUGCGCAUGGAAUUUGUAAUGUGAUGAGUCAUCUUAUAAUUUGAUUUUUGAAUUAUAGGAGUAAGAAGUAUAUAUGUUUCGAAUGAUGGGAUUUUAAAGCAUGUGUAAUAUGACUAUUUCGAGCCGUGUUUUAUAUUGUAAUGCCUUGUAACCUUAUUUCGGUAACGGAUACGGGUUAUGAGUGUUACAUUUUAUUGGUAUCAGAGCUAUGGUUUAGUCGGUUCUAGGACUACCAUAGCGUAUGUGAGUUUAGCUAUACAUGCCACAUUUAACCUACGAUAGUGUGAUAUUUCCC